rnacentral:rRNA from 1 species
UACAUGUGGGGCAAGCGUUGUUCGGAAUUACUGGGCGUAAAGGGCUCGUAGGUGGCCAACUAAGUCAGACGUGAAAUCCCUCGGCUUAACCGGGGAACUGCGUCUGAUACUGGAUGGCUUGAGUUCGGGAGAGGGAUGCGGAAUUCCAGGUGUAGCGGUGAAAUGCGUAGAUAUCUGGAGGAACACCGGUGGCGAAGGCGGCAUCCUGGACCGACACUGACACUGAGGAGCGAAAGCCAGGGGAGCAAACGGG